rnacentral:misc_RNA from 1 species
GGCAAAAAACCCGGCUUUUGUUUUCAUUAUUCUUGGCGGAACUGUGGAAAUAUUUAUCAUCGGAGGACUAGCAACGUUUGGUGCUAAACUGUUUCAGGAAUUUUUUAACAUUGACAUAUAUGAAGCGGGAAACUUGAUGGGGAGUCGUCCUUCAUAUCCUCCUGUAACUCGGACUGUGGCUGCAGCACGGCGGGGUACGAGCCUGUCUGUGAUCAAAACCAGAUAGUCUACUUCUCCCCGUGUCACGCCGGAUGUUCCGGUGUCAGCGACGUCAAUGGAACCAAGAUGUAUGAAGGUUGUUCCUGUAUUAACCGCACGGCCUUGUCGAUGACCCUGACAAGCGGCACGUGUUCGGACAGAUGUUCUUGGUUUUAUGUCUUCUGUGUGCUGUUGUUUUUGAUGAUGUUUCUGACGUUUUCCACAAUGUCGCCUACACUGACCGCCAUGUUUAGGUGCAUACCCCCUCAACAGAGGUCACUGGGAAUUGGAAUCCAGCUGACAUUUGGAAGAUUGCUAGGUACCACACCAGGACCAAUCUUUCUGGGCGCCAUAUUGGACAGUACCUGCUCAGUAUGGCAGGAGAGCUGUGGUGCUAAAGGGAACUGUUGGAUUUACGACAAAUGGCCACUGGGUAUUCGCCUGAUGUUGUGGUGGAUGGGCACCAAAGUAGUUGGGUUUAUUCUUCUUCUUAUCGCUUCCUUCGUCUACAAUCCGGAGGUGGUUAAAGAAGAAGACGAAGUAGAAGUGAGGAAUGAGAAAACGGAGAAAUCAGCGAUAGAUAACCCUGUUUUUAGCAUUCUUGAUGAGAAUAGUUACAAUACAAAAAUGUGAUGGUAAUGUUAUUUGAGAUGUUGCUGACGACAAGAAAAUGUUGAUUAAUUAAAAUUAAUUUUAGUGUCGACACAUUAGAAAUGUUAAUGGAUAUAGUACUCAUGUAUAUCAAAAAUCUCCUUUUAUAAACACCGCACUGUACGAAAAUAUAUUUUGAAUGCAUGUGUUCGUUACAUUCGAAAUUUUUAGGUCACGUGAGUCACUAAGGUGACCUAGUGCAAUUGGUCUUCGUCCGUCGUCGAGCGUUAACAAUUUUACAUUUUUAACUUCUUCUUAAAACUACAAGGCCAAUUGUUACAAUUUUUGGUAUGAAGCAUCUCUAUGGUAUGAAGAAUCUAAAUUGUGCACUUCAUGACUCUACCACCCAUGGGGUGCCAGGGGUGGGGCCAAAUAUGCAAUAAAAGCCAAAUUUUCAAAAAUCUUCUUCUCUACUCCCAUAUAUAAAAGGAAAUAACUGAAUGCAUGGUUAAAACCCCCAUGAAGCCCUCUACUAAAAUUGUGAAAUUCAUGGCCCAUGGGUCAGGGGUUCAGGCUCUAGGGUGGGGCCACUUGGGCCAUAAAGUGAAAUUAUUAAAUCUUAGAAAAUCUUUUUCUCUUCUCCCAUAUACAUUUGAAUAAAACUGAGUGUAUGGUUAUGAUGACCACUGACUCCUCUACCUAAAUAAUGAAAUUCAUGGCCCCUGAGUCAGGGGUUCAGGCUCUAGGACGGGGCCUUUUUGUCCAUGAAGUGAAAAUGUUUUAAAUCUUAGAAAAUCUUCUUCUUUACUCCCACGAAAAACUGAAUGCAUGGUUAUGAU